rnacentral:rRNA from 1 species
GGGCCCGCACAAGCGGUGGAGCAUGUGGUUUAAUUCGAUGCAACGCGAAGAACCUUACCAGGGCUUGACAUACUACAAAUUCUUUUGAAAAAGAGAAGUGCCUUCGGGAAUGUAGAUACAGGUGGUGCAUGGCUGUCGUCAGCUCGUGUCGUGAGAUGUUGGGUUAAGUCCCGCAACGAGCGCAACCCUUAUUUUUAGUUACCAAUUCGUUGGAUUUUUUAGAAAGACUGCCGGUGACAAACCGGAGGAAGGUGAGGAUGACGUCAAGUCAGCAUGCCCCUUAUGUCCUGGGCUACACACGUGCUACAAUGGUUAAGACAAAGAGUCGCAAACUCGUGAGGGUAAGCUAAUCUACUAAACUUAGCCUAAGUUCAGAUUGUAGGCUGCAACUCGCCUACAUGAAGUUGGAAUCGCUAGUAAUCG